rnacentral:rRNA from 1 species
GACGAACGCUGGCGGCGUGCUUAACACAUGCAAGUCGAACGGAAAGGCCCUGCUUUUGUGGGGUGCUCGAGUGGCGAACGGGUGAGUAACACGUGAGUAACCUGCCCUUGACUUUGGGAUAACUUCAGGAAACUGGGGCUAAUACCGGAUAGGAGCUCCUGCUGCAUGGUGGGGGUUGGAAAGUUUCGGCGGUUGGGGAUGGACUCGCGGCUUUUCAGCUUGUUGGUGGGGUAGUGGCUUACCAAGGCUUUGACGGGUAGCCGGCCUGAGAGGGUGACCGGCCCCAAUGGGAAUGAGAGACGGGCCCGAACCCUACGGGGGGCAGAAGGGGGGGAUAUUGGACAAUGGGGGGAAGGCUGAAGGCGGCACCCCGGGUGGGGGAUGGAGGGCUUUGGGGUGUAAAACGCUUUUCGCCGGGGCCAAGCGGGAGUGAAGGGUAAUGGAGAAGAAACCCCGGCCUAAUAAGUG